rnacentral:rRNA from 1 species
CAGUCGCCGCGGUAACACAGAGGGUGCAAGCGUUAAUCGGAAUUACUGGGCGUAAAGCGCGCGUAGGUGGUUUGUUAAGUUGGAUGUGAAAUCCCCGGGCUCAACCUGGGAACUGCAUCCAAAACUGGCAAGCUAGAGUAUGGUAGAGGGUGGUGGAAUUUCCUGUGUAGCGGUGAAAUGCGUAGAUAUAGGAAGGAACACCAGUGGCGAAGGCGACCACCUGGACUGAUACUGACACUGAGGUGCGAAAGCGUGGGGAGCAAACAGGAUUAGAUACCCCGGUAGUCCCUGUCUCUUAUAC